CCGGAGGUUCGGUCGUCGCCGCCCGUCCUGGCGGCGCAGGAGCAGCGGCGCCGGUGUCCCGGCGGGUAGGCAGGGGCCUGCAGGGAUUGCAGCGGCGCCGGUGUCCCGGCGGAACCUGCACGUUCGAAUCAAGAGCCAUGUGGUCAGCUGAUGAAAUCGCUGGGUUAUGUUACCUGCAUUACAGGACCAGACUUCCUAAGCAGGGGAAACCAGAUCCAAACAGGGAAUGGACUUCCCUGGCAGCUGUUGUCAAAGUGGAAUCAGCAGCCCAAGGAGAGGCUCUUGAUAGUCCAGGAAACUUGCAGGUAACUAAGGAAGUUGUUGCUAUGGGAACUGGAACAAAAUGCAUUGGCCAAAACAAAAUGCGAAAAACUGGAGACAUUCUGAAUGACAGCCAUGCUGAAAUUGUGGCCAAGAGGAGCUUCCAGAGGUAUCUUCUCCAUCAGUUGUGGCUUGCAGCUUCCCAUCAGCAAUGCAUUUUUAGUCCGGGAACUGAAACUGGGAAAUGGAAACUCAAACCAAAUAUUAUCUUUAUUUUCUUCUCCAGCCAUACCCCAUGUGGAGAUGCUUCUAUUUUUCCAAUCAGUGAACCAGAGAACCAGCUUCCUAAGCCAGUGACUGAAGGUCAUGCAGCUGGACAAUCAGCAGAAUGUAGAAGUGACCAUAAUGACUUAUGUCCAGAAGAUGUAAGAAAAUCAGAGAAGAUGGCAAGGAAUUGUAUAAUCAAGAGAAUGAAAACUGAUGAUGGUGGUUGUUUUUCCAUAACCACUGAAGACCUGGCUGUUCAGCAUGGAUCUGUGAAACGAGAAGACAACGCAAAUCAGAAGAGCUGUCAAUGUUCUGCAGAGAUGCAGACAGCUAAUAAGGAGAGUGGCUUAGUGAGACCAAAGGUAGUAGAUGUUCACAGAACUGGAGCCAAAUGUGUACCUGGAGAGCUAGAUGAUGCCCGAAUACCUGGGCUGGGGUACCACUGUGUGGGAUUAUUACGAGUGAAGCCAGGUCGAGGAGACAGAACAUGCUCUAUGUCCUGCAGUGAUAAACUGGCUCGCUGGAAUGUGUUAGGGUGUCAAGGAGCUCUUCUGAUGCAUUUUCUGCAGUAUCCAGUGUAUCUGUCAGCAGUUAUUGUGGGAAAGUGUCCAUAUAGCCAAGAAGCUAUGCGGAGAGCAGUUAUUGAAAGGUGUCAGCGCAUCUCAUCUUUACCGGGUGGUUUUCUCACUCAGGAGGUUAAGCUGCAGCAAUCAGAUCUUCAAUUUGAACAUAGCCGACAGGCAAUUCAGGAAGUUCAAAGUAACAGCAAAACAAAACUUGUUCCUUGUAGUGCAGCUAUCAGUUGGAGUGCAGUCCCUGAACAACCUCUGGAUGUCACCUCAGACGGCUUCCGCCAGGGAACAACAAAGAAGGGGAUUGGGAGCCAGCAGAGCAGAUCCAAAAUCUGUAAAGUGGAACUCUUCCAUAAAUUCCAAAAGCUGGUGACAAGUAUUUCACAAGAGGAUCUACCAGACUCUCUACGGAUGAAGACACUAAAAACCUACUGGGACUACAAGGAAGCUGCGUUAAAUUAUCAAGAAGCCUGGAGAGUGCUGCGUAGCCAAGCUCUGCUGGGUUGGGUCAGGAAUGCCAAGGAAUACCUGCACUUCACAUGAGAAUCCAUGUGACUAUGUGAAUCCAGGAAUAAGCUCUGGUCCACAGCAGAUACCUUUGUAAUUCAAGGGCCAGAAAACGACACCCUCUAGUUUAUGUGCUGUGAAGAGACAGGAGUGAAAAGGAAAGCCAUUUAGAGAAUAAUUUUAUUUUUACUGAGUUGAAGCCCCCUUUUUAUUGAAAUAUAGAAAAGGAUCACUGCUGACUUUAAAUUCUGAGCUGCAUGAAAUAAUAUGCUUCCAAAAGAAAGGAAGCAGUGCUGUGCUAUCCUGGUAUCUGAAAGUAGAGCCUACCAGCCAUAGUCAUUGCAGUGAAAGAAAUGUCAACUGAAAUUCAAGCAUUAUUAUGGAAAAUUUUAGUGCCACUUUUUUCUUCCACUUCUCAUAAUGUUAUUGUUUUUCUGUUGCUGGGACAACCCUCAUGUAUAGUAAGUAAUACUUUCAUAAUUCUGAGCUCUUCUUGUCUGGUGCAUGGAAGAAUUUUCUAUGUCCCUCAGCCCCAUUGCUUCUAACUGGAAAAACUAGUUCUGUUAAAGUGUCUCUUUUUGUGGGAAUCCUUAAUAUAUGCUGCUAUUUGCUAAACAUAGCCGCAGAUAUUGUCACAGCAGAAGCAAAAGCACUGGGAAGGAGUCUGUGUCAAAUAAUACUACUUAUGAUAUUCUGUGCAUCUCAGUUUCAGGACUUUGCCAGAUAACAUUUCAACUGCUUUGCCUCUGUAGGCAGGAAAGAAAACUCCUGAAUGACUUGGUUCAAAUUGGCCAAUCCUGUGUAAUUACUGGCAAACAUUUACCUACUUUUCAGUGUUUCAAGCACCGUCCAUCUCCGUGCUCCCUUGUGGGAAAUGGUCAGUUAAAAGCAGAAAUGCUUCAGCUAUUUAUGUCACUGGCCCUUGUGUUCAUUAAUAGCUUGGCAAAGGUGGAGAUGCUUUGGGGAGUAUUGAAAGUAGUCUCUGGCAUGUUCCUUCUAUUUUCUCUUGCCAUUAUGCUUUAUUACCAACUAACAUCUGCAUGACAAGACAGUCAACACUGAGCAGUUGUGGGGGAAGCAGUGUGUAAUCCUCCUUAAACCUUCUGUUCCAGUUAUUGCCUUUUGUGAGCAAUUUCAGGACUGUGUAACUGCUCCUGAGCCCAUUCCCCUUUUGUAUUUUUCUCUUGUAAACCACGAUUCAUAAAAUAUUUGGACAAGGCAAUGUCAGGAUGAAGGAAGUGGAUAAUUUAGAACUUGAAAAUUCCUUAGUGAUUUGAUUUUUUUUUGUUCUUUGGUGGUCUAUAGUUUUGGAUUUGAAAAAUGGGCACAGCAGUUCUCCAAACAGCCUUUUUUGUCAACCUACUGAGCUACAUAUGGGACCAAACAGUACACAUAACGUUACAGUAUGAGAAGUGAUAGCAGCAAAUCCUUGUUACUUCACACUCAGGCUAACUUGUCAAGUAAGAAUAGUUCUCUUGUUGAAGAAGUAACAACUUGAAUUCUGUGUGUAUAUGCCCAUUCUCUCAAAUCCAGAACUAACAUGCAGAAAUACCAGUUGUACUGGUGAGGGGGAAGUAAUUUUAUGUGUUUGUAGAGGGCAAGGGAUUAUGGAGAUUAGGGACUUGCAGUAGUCAUCAGAGGAUAAAAAAUGGCCAGAUGCCAUUGCACAUGGGUUACAGGGUGAACUGCUGAAAAUAAAUGGUAGCUGUUCCUGUAAUCGAGCAAGUAGUAUUCCAAGGACAGAGUUCUAUAGUGUACCUAAAGAGCUAUCAGUAGAUUUCCAGGUUCCUGACAUUUGCCUUUGCUGAAAUCUUGCAGAAACUAUUAACUUACCAUACCUAGUUUCGCAUAGUUAAUCAACAAUGUCUGCAGUGAACCUGCUGACCAGACUGGAAUGUUCCCAUUUCCUAUUCAGCUGCAAUAUUAAAAUGGGUUACAUAAGACUAGUUCUGUAGUCAUGCAUCAGUUUUCACAUAAGCAGUUAUAUGGUUUAAAUUCUUCUAACUCUUUUAUACAAUUUGAGCCUGGCUGUUAGGAUUGUUGCUGGUAAGAUUUUUUUGUGAAUUUCUAAAAUACUUGUGAACUGUCAACUGUUGCUGUUUUGUUGCCUGUCAGAUUUAAAAGUAGUUUUUGAGGUGCUGAACACUGAUGCUAACUUCACUUCUUGGAUGGAGCUGAGGAUAUAUUUAAGCCUUGAGCAAGUCAGUGAAUAUGCAAAGAGAAGGAAAGAGCUGAAACAGAACAGCAUUUGAAAGGCUGAGGGGCUAAGCCUGUGGGAGCUCAUCCUCGACUGGAUGGCAUUUCUGUGACGGAAAAUCAGUAUUUAAAUGCUGCAUUUGUUUCAUUUGAAAAUGUCAGGAAAUGCUGUUGGCAGUACCAUGAAACUGAUCUAAAAAUCAGAAGGGAAAAAUGCAGAGAUAGGAAAGAACAGUCUCUGCUUUUGUAAUUGGUAGCAAACUAAACUUGGAUCACUGUCAGCAGGUCUUUGGAAGAAUUGCUCCUGGAAAGGAACAGUUGAUAUGUUCCAAGCCUGUAUCACUCCUUUGCGCUGGUAUAGCUGAUACCCCGAAAAACAAAGAUAGGCAGGGCACAGGGAGGACAGCAGAAUGCAGAGACUCUGCCACAGGAAAGCAGAGUUGGCAGGGAGGGAAGCAGCAGGAAUGAAGUGCCCACAGUGCAUGGUUAAUGAGGACAAGCAAACAAGUGGGAGUUGAGAGCAGCAGAGCACAGGAAGGCACCAAGAUUCCCACCAUAUGUGUAAAAUGAGCACAUCUGUAUUACCCAGAUAGGGCCUUGCCUGUCCCAAACUUGUUUGGAGACCAGUGGCUCUUAAUUGCCAGGACAAAGAAACUGUAAUCAUUGAGUAGAAUGUCUCUAACAGCAUCACUGUUAGAGGUGUUAUUCUGUUUUCAGUCCUAGUAAGAAGGCAGGACAGACUCCCUGCAUAUCUUGAAGGAAGUCAAAACUGGAGCAUAGAAACAAGUGGUUUUCUCCAAGGGUGAGAGUAAUCAUGUUUGACCUUGAGGCUGCAGUUCCACAAAACCAGAUGUUAGCAUCCCACUGUCUUUGGAAAAGCAAGGUUUUGAUCUUCACCGUGUACUUCCACUGCUCACCUUAACACAGGCUGGAAGGCUUACUGAUCUCAGUACAUUGCGAGUAAACUGAAAAAUAUUUAAAUUGCUAUAUUUGUAGAAAAACAAACCACCAGCCCAAAACAAGAUGCAGCCUUUCACUAGGAGUAAAAAGAUCUCUGCAAUAAAUCCGUUAAGCAUUAGAGGAAAGGAAGAGCCGGGGUUGUGCGGCUGAGGGCAGAAUUCUGUUGGCAAGGAGGAAAGAAAGGCAUGGGAGUUUUGUCUCAGACUAUCUGAUAAUGUCAUAAGAGGGCUGCAGCAACAACAGGUACAUAAUACACACAACUAAAAUAUAUACAUGUAGAAGCAAGGUAUUUCUUGAGGAAAGACCAUGUAAAUGGUCUAAAUUUGGUCUAUAAUAAUGUCUAUAAUGUGAUAAUGGUCUAUAAUAAUAUACUAAAUAUUGACUGAAUGCUGAAUUCAUCCAGUACUGGUUUAGUUAUAUUGGAGAUAACAUUUCAAUUUAGCUUAAAGAUAAGUCACAUAGAGGUGUUGCUGUCUUUGUUUUUUGUUCAGUGCACCAGUUGAAGGGUUAACAGAAAAUGAAGAUCAUAUGGGCUCAAAUGCUUUGUAAAAUUUUACAGGAAUGUCCUAUCUAAAGGGAUGCAUUUCACCUCUGAAUUUCAAAAGGAAAUCUCUUGAUAUUUUAUUGCCAUUUAACAUGUAUCUGCAGAUGAAAAGUGAAGUUACUGCUGUAGAACAUUUAUGCUUACAUUCUCUGGAACUGCUCGCGUGUCUGGGCUCCUGAAUCUAAACUAAUAAAUACAGAGAUGUUAAAGAGAGCAGUUUUGUGGGGGUUUUAGGGGCUUAUGAAGGGUAAUCCAAAAGUUACCUCAAUCAUAACAUCUUCCCUUGGUUUUAGAUCUGUUUGCUAGCAUGUAACUAACUUCAGCAUUUUUAAGUGUUUCUUACUCCUCUGUUAACAGCUAAGAAAAAAUAUUACUUGGUGAGUGUAGAAAAAUGGUACCAUUUCAGCAUAAAGGAAACAGAACAUUUUCCAGUAAUAAAAGAUAGUUGGAGCAGUAGACAUCAGUUGGGUGCACAAAUGAAGCCUCCUCAGCUCACCUUUCUCUGACUUCCCAAAACUGAGGAAAGGCUAAUGAACUGAAAGAUGGAGAUGGAUGUGAGUGACAGGGAAAACAAUGACAUCAUUCUGCCCAGGAGAGGAGCUGGGAAGAUUUGUAAGCAGUACUUGAAAUGGAAGUGAAUUGGUGAGUAGUAAAUAGAUCACCAAUCAUUGACAUCCUUCUCUCCUCAUACAGAGGUUUAUGAGCAGAACCAUGAACAGAUUGUGGUUUUGUUUAUUGGUUAAGAAGUUACCAUUUUUACAUUAAUAUUGAAUUAUCAAAGCCCUGUUUUCCUAGCUGAGAUGUUACAUCUUAUUAUGAACAUGUGAGAAGAGACAAUGGAUCUCCCUUUCCUGUGCCUAGCAAUUCUGUAAUACUGUUAUAAAGAUGACAUAUAGGCAUUCUCAGUAUUGUUAAAAGAAAACAAGCAGAAAAGGAUGGUUCUCAUGGAUCCCUAUUGUGUAUCGGAGUACCUGGAGGGACUCUUUCUUUUACAGUUAAGUAUUAAGAAUGAUAUCACAUCUAAGGCAUGUAAUGACAUACUAUUUCCUUAAAUGCUACUAAAGUAUCUAGUGUAGAAAGUUGUAGUUGCUGCUUGUGCUAUAUUCUGUUAUGUAGGAGAAAACAAUAAAAGUUAUUCCUAUAUAAAAGCAAUGCAAAAAACCUUUCUAUUGCAAUUAUUUUUUUUCAUAGAAAAAAAUAAUUUAAAAAAAGAACGAGCAGCUAGUUUGUAAUGUUACAAUUUCUUUGUAAACUGACAGGUUAUUGGUUUUUUUCAGAAUAAUUUAUGGCAUUUGCUAUUGAGUAUUUAAUGUGCAACCUUUUUUGUUAUACUGAGAAUCAUUGUUUUCUUGAUAUUGAUGAUGUAUGUGUUUUUGCACUUAACCAAAUGCAACAACAUCAUAACUGCAAAGCUCACCCUUGUGCCAUGGAAGUAAAUCAUAAUAUAUUUUUCAGUCACCUUUCUUUUCAGCCUAGCUCAAGAAAUAAGACGUUUAUCAAAUUCAUGAGGAAAAAAAAGUUCUAGUGAGAUUAAGAUGUGACAAACAUCUCCCAAAAUCACCAAAUGAGCCUUGAAGAGCAGUGUUACUCGCCCUCUAAUAUGCACAGGCUUGCUGUAAUGAUUCUGAAUACCAAGUGAAUAGCC